GCGUUAAUCGGAAUUACUGGGCGUAAAGCGUGCGCAGGCGGCUUUGCAAGACAGAUGUGAAAUCCCCGGGCUUAACCUGGGAACUGUAUUUGUGACUGCAUGGCUGGAGUGCGGCAGAGGGGGAUGGAAUUCCGCGUGUAGCAGUGAAAUGCGUAGAUAUGCGGAGGAACACCGAUGGCGAAGGCAAUCCCCUGGGCCUGCACUGACGCUCAUGCACGAAAGCGUG
rnacentral:rRNA from 1 species